GGCUAUUGAGAACAUGUGAUGACACUGUGUGCCUUUGCCCGAGUGUUUCGACGCUAUGCUGGAGGACAUCAUUGCAAUUUUCCUAUGGAAAAAGAAGCAAACUCCAAGCCUACAACACUGGCCUAAUGGGACUGUCAUCCUGGAGUGCCACACUGGCUAAACAUCAACUAGAUCAGAUGUUUUUCUUCCUUGAAACUGGCAUGGGACGAUGACGGACAAGUACAUGUGCUUCUGGUCUUGGGGAAGACCUGAUGCCUGUAUCAACUGCUUCCCAGCACUUGAUGGUAGUCAUGGAGUGCAUGACAUAUAUUUUCCAAGCAUUUUCUCUACAGUUUGCAGGGUCAGCCCAGGCACAUGAGAAAGCUACACGGCGACCAUGAUUCUUGAGUAGCAGCAAUCAGCCAGCUUUAGUGUCAGCAGCUGUUCUUCCUGGCUGCCAGGGCAC